rnacentral:tRNA from 1 species
AGGGAAAUAGCUCAGUGGUAGAGCACAUGGUUAACACGCAUGAGGUCCUGGAUUCAAUCCCCAGUACCUCCA